UACAGAGGUCUCGAGCGUUAGGCGGAAUCACUGGGCUUAAAGCGUGUGUAGGCGGGUCGGUAAGUACCUUGUGAAAUCCCACGGCUCAACCGUGGAACUGCUGGGUAUACUGCCGAUCUUGUGCAACCUAGGGGCGAGCGGAACAGAUGGUGGAGCGGUGAAAUGCGUAGAUAUCAUUCUGGAACGCCAAGUGGUGAAAACAGCUCGCUGGGGG
rnacentral:rRNA from 1 species